rnacentral:rRNA from 1 species
AGUGAACGCUGGCGGUAGGCCUAACACAUGCAAGUCGAACGGCAGCACAGUAAGAGCUUGCUCUUACGGGUGGCGAGUGGCGGACGGGUGAGGAAUACAUCGGAAUCUACUUUUUCGUGGGGGAUCACGUAGGGAAACUUACGCUAAUACCGCAUACGACCUACGGGUGAAAGCAGGGGAUCUUCGGACCUUGCGCGAUUGAAUGAGCCGAUGUCGGAUUAGCUAGUUGGCGGGGUAAAGGCCCACCAAGGCGACGAUCCGUAGCUGGUCUGAGAGGAUGAUCAGCCACACUGGAACUGAGACACGGUCCAGACUCCUACGGGAGGCAGCAGUGGGGAAUAUUGGACAAUGGGCGCAAGCCUGAUCCAGCCAUACCGCGUGGGUGAAGAAGGCCUUCGGGUUGGAAAGCCCUUUUGUUGGGAAAGAAAAGCAGCAGGUUAAUACCCCGCUGUUCUGACGGUACCCAAAGAAUAAGCACCGGCUAACUUCGUG